rnacentral:tRNA from 2 species
AGGCCAGUAGCUCCAAUUGGUUAGAGCGCCGGUCUCCAAAACCGGAUGUUGGGGGUUCGAAUCCCUCCUGGCCUGCCA